CCUGAUAGGUGAACCCGGUAAGGAUAUUACCGAGUUGAUUCGAGCUCCGGCUCGACUCUCCCACCCCAUGUGUACCUACCUCUGUUGCUUUGGCGGGCCGCGGUCCUCCGCACCGACCCCCGUUCGGGGGCCGGCCAGCGCCCGCCAGAGGACCACAAAACUCCAGUCAGUAAACGUCGCAGUCUGAGAAACAAGUUAAUAAACUAAAACUUUCAACAACGGAUCUCUUGGUUCUGGCAUCGAUGAAGAACGCAGCGAAAUGCGAUAAGUAAUGUGAAUUGCAGAAUUCAGUGAAUCAUCGAAUCUUUGAACGCACAUUGCGCCCCUUGGUAUUCCGAGGGGCAUGCCUGUUCGAGCGUCAUUUCAACCCUCAAGCUCUGCUUGGUAUUGGGCUCCGUCCUCCGCGGACGCGCCUCGAAGACCUCGGCGGUGGCGUCUUGCCUCAAGCGUAGUAGAAAACACCUCGCUUUGGAGCGCAUGGCGUCGCCCGCCGGACGAACCUUUGAAUUUUUCUCAAGGUUGACCUCGGAUCAGGUAGGGAUACCCGCUGAACUUAAGCAUAUCUAAUGGGGGAAAGAAAA
rnacentral:rRNA from 1 species